ensembl:lncRNA
CUGAAAACUCUAAUCUCCUAAGAAUCCCAGAUUAGAUACAGUAAUAUGAUAGGGGAGAGAGAAAGCAUCCAGGAAUGGAUUUUCUUCAGUGUUUUGGAGCUUUGGAAUUCAGUUACAAAUGCUGCAGCAAGAAAGUGGGGAACUGCGAAGUUCAAGCGCCUUAAUGAAAUUUCAGCUAAAGCAUUUCAGGCUCUGCUGAGACCCUGCAAAGCCAGAGGUUCUGCAAGCAAGCCUGUGGAGCCAGGCUCGUUCAGCCAUGGAUGCCUCCAGAAGCUGCUGCACUGACUGGCAGACAAGGCACAGUGACAAACAGCAGUGACGGCACAGCACAGGCACAGUGACAAACAGCAGUGAUGGCACAGCACAGGCACAGUGACAAACAGCAGUGAUGGCACAGCAAAGCACAGUGACAAACAGCAGUGAUGGCACAGCACAGGCACAGUGACAAACAGCAGUGAUGGCACAGCACAGGCACAGUGACAAACAGCAGUGACAGCACAGCAAAGCACAGUGACAAACAGCAGUGAUGGCACAAGUGGGUGACAUCACCCGAUUUUGACCUCCAGUCCUGUGAUUUGGUCACAGGUCAGGCUAUCCUUUUAUUGACCGUGCAAGCAUCUAUAGAGCUCCUCAGCAGUACAGACUAAUGGAAGUGGAUGUCUGUGCUUGCACUUGUGGCUACAGAGGUUGUUACUUUGUUCAUCAGAAGAGCCCUGUAAACACAGUCCUACAAGUCACUGAUGUGUUCUUCAUUUUAAGUAAGCUCACAGUAAUGCUACACGUGUGUGUGGCAAGAAUGAAGGAGCCUAGAGUGAGUAGAUUAGCUUUUAGAUUUAUUUGUUUUGUUAUCCUAAAACUAGAUAAUUAGAAAAGGAAAUAAGCAGGUUCUCAAUAGAUUUGUAUGGUUCACACCUGUUAUUAGAAGCAGCAUUAUCUCAGUGGAGAACUCCCCUGCUCUUUGAAGUUCAAAUGAAAAAUCUCUCACAAGCUCUGGUGUGUCUGCUUCUCUGCUGAUGCAUUAGAAACAAAGUGCCAAAAUGAACUGACAGCUUCUCAUUUCUUUCCCCAAUUAACAAUCACAGCAGCUGCUUGCUGGUAGAAUAAUAAGCUUCCUUCUUAUUUUUUAUCUCAUUUAAGCAAAAUGUUAUUCUGGUUUGAUGCAAAAUUCUGUGCUUUUUUUUUUCUUAUGACACUACACUUGCUGCAGUCAAGAGCUGGUUUUGUGUUCUUAUUUUAGCUGAGGCAGUACAGCAAAUAGAUAAUUUGAUACCUCAGUGCUGACACACAAAUUAAAUACUAGGUGUCAAGAAAUCUUCCCUUUUCAUGUGUCAUUAGCUUUUCACUGCAAAAAAAAAAAAGGAUCAAGACAAAAUGAUCACAAAAUAUUUCUUGUAUUUUUGUAUAAUUUAACCUAGACCAGAAGCCAAGUUUUAUCACUCACCUUCAGCUCACAGUUACAUUAAUUACAUUAAUUACUGUGCUCUUUCUUCAGCAAAUUCAGUGUUUGACACAUUCUUAAAUUUAGUAGUAAUCAAUGUAGCUCAAAAUCUUCCUAGAAUAAAACCUUUAUGUGGACUGCA